rnacentral:rRNA from 1 species
AUUGAACGCUGGCGGCAGGCCUAACACAUGCAAGUCGAACGAGUGGCGGACGGGUGAGUAAUGUCUGGGAAACUGCCUGAUGGAGGGGGCUAACUACUGGAAACGGUAGCUAAUACCGCAUACCAUCAGAUGUGCCCAGAUGGGAUUAGCGAGUUGGUGGGGUAACGGCUCACCAAGGCGACGAUCCCUAGCUGGUCUGAGAGGGUGACCAGCCACACUGGAACUGAGACACGGCCCAGACUCCUACGGGAGGCAGCAGGGGGGAAUAUUGCACAAGGGGCGCAAGCCUUAUGGAGCCAGGCCGCGUGUAUGAAGAAGGCCUUCGGGUUGUAAAGUACUUUCAGCGGGGAGGCGUUACCCGAAGAAGAAGCACCGGCUAACUCCGUGCCAGCAGCCGCGGUAAUUG